rnacentral:sRNA from 1 species
GUUGGGCACAGUGGUUCAUGCCUGUAGUCCCAGCUACUUGGGAAGCUGAGGUGGAAGAACUGCUUGAGCCCAGGAGUUUGAGACUAGCCUGGGAAACAUAGUGAAACCCCAUCUCAA